GUGCUUGCUUCAGCAGCACAUAUACUAAAAUUGGAAUGAUACAGAGAAGAUUAGCAUGACCCUAUGCAAGGAUGGUGCACAAAUUCAUGAAGUGUUCCAUAUUAAA